CCCUGUGUCUUCUGUGUAAUAGAUCAUUAUUUUUAGUGCAAAGAAAAACGUCAAAGUAAAAACUAAAUAAAAUGGAUAAAUGUUGAUGACUUUUCCGAGCGUAACUUGAAGCGAGAAGGAUAAAGUGAUCGUCCAACUUUUUAAGAGCCAUCCUUCUUUAUGACUACGCCAAUCCCGAUUAGUUCUUGCUGAAAAGGGAAUAGAUCCGCUCAAAAUCGUUUUUUUCGUGCAAAGUGGUUUCGUCAUCGAGAAAAUUUUUUUUGGUUGAGCUGCUCAUGCGCUACCGUAAUCACCGCAAGCCUCUUCUAAAAAACGGCGUUUCGGGGGAGGGGCGAUACCAACAAUAAAUAAUAAAAUUUUUUUAAAUAAAAACACCAAAAUGUAUUGUAGAGUAAGAGUUACCCACAUGCUUCAUUUGAAUAAAAGUUCUAAAACAUAUUUAAAAAAAAGUAUGACAAUCGUCCAUUUUUAGGGCUCACAAGGUAUAUAACCCCUUAAAUAUACGAGUAUAAGUAUUUAUAAAACAAAAGG